CGUCGCUCACGAAACGCUUUCUACUUCAACGAAACGUAGGCGCUGUGCUUGGAAUAGUUCGAAGAGGGCAAGGCAGCGUGUGGUUUUCAGCAUGCGCUGUCAGCCGAGUCAAGCGGCCCCUAAGAAUCGCUGUGCGCACGGGCUGCUGUAGUAGCCACCAUUCGUGGGCAACACGUGAACGCUGCUGGGCGCUUUUCUUUUUCCUCCAAUGGAGUUUGCAGUCAGCCUAUACAGUGGGUGGACCGUGGGGCUACUUUCGGUGUCGGCAAUAAAGCGCCACCGUGACACUGGCAGCCACAGGAAACUUCAGUGCCUUCUGCGCAAGCGGCUUUAUCUCUUCAACCUACGAAGUAAUUGAGCACACUGAUGCAAUUAUCUGCUAAAAUAAAGUGCGUUUUCAGUUGGUUUCCCUGUCGCCGACCUAAAUGUUUAUUUAGCCGCUUCAUUUGUUGAGAUAUUACUUCGGCUGCCACUCAGUUCGUCUCCUCCUGUCGCUUUCAUUGCACGUGCGUGUUUUUUUUUUCGUAUGUUCUGCAUUACAAAAUUUUCUGUCUGUGCACGCGAACGUUCCCGUAGCGUCGGAAAAACUGAGGAAAGGACAACGGGCGAGUGCGCGGCUGUUUGGCGCGGAAACCAGGGGAGCAACACAAGCGCGAAAUAUCUCCAUUUCACAGCGGACGAAAGUAUAUACCAAGGAAACGGGAGGUCCUGGCGUUGAAUAGGUUCACCGGUCUCCUGCAGCAGCGACGUGAACAGGAUCCACUGCCGCUGGCUCGUGUCAAGCCACUGGUGCCAAUUGCGAGCAACGUAGUCGAUACAGUGCUGCAGCGUUGCCGGUGGCAUGAACACUCCGUUAUGUCUCCCCGCUGUCUGCUGCUCCAACUGGGAUGUCGGUUGGCCAGGGUGUCCUGCAGGGUGGAACCUCCUUGCUCUGCAUGUUGAAGUGCAGAUAUAUAUUCUUUAAGUUGCUCGGCCGCUCAUAUGGGCAGAUAUGUUUUGCUACGUUUUGAUAUUAUUUUAUAUCUGCGAUGCGCCGUUUCCACAAUAUUAACGACCCACAAUUACUACAAAUAAUGAUCCACAAUUAAUGAUCUGUGGCUGUAGGUGUUGACGUAAAGAAAUCCACCACUUCGGUUAAUGCGACGCGCAAGGCUGCGCUCUAAGACUUAGUGAACAUGCUAGAUGUCUAAAGAAUGUGUAAAAGUGAUGCAAAAAGCGAGUUCCAAGAGCGUAAAUCUCCACCAACAAACUCCGUGGCAGCCGCGUCUGCAGAAGGAACUCUGCGCGCCUUUAACGACCGCCGUAUGACGCGAGAGCGCGCUGUGGUUUGCUCAUCCAGUGGUCUGUGAGUGUGGCAUGGCUUCCUGCUACGACACGCUUCCCAGGGGAAGCCAAUCUAGAUGCACGAAACGCAUAACCGACGCGCACUGAACAUGGGGCAGCUGCGGAAAUACACGGGCGAAAGCCCCGGCGCCCUUCCAAAGCGUUGCCGGCGCCAUGCGAGAGAAGGCGGCGCAGCAAAGUGAGAGCGUCGGAUUAGUAACGAAAACAACUUUUGUAAGCUGGACAUUUUCAGUCUUUUCCUGAGCCUUGGAAUAAUUUGCUAGUACUGAACUUCACAAAGCACAAUUCGAUGAAGCAUCAGCGUAAAUUCAAGCGUUAACAAAUCUGAAACUAUACAAACACAUUGUUUCGUUGCGAAGUUCACCUGCAUUUGUAAGUGUGCUUUAAGACUCGAAAGGAACACUAGUCACUACUAAUCAAUGCUUAAAAAUCGGCUACAUAGCAAUUAGAUUCCAUGCAAUUACGUUGACAGGCAUUAAGAUUGGGUAUUGUCGUCUUUCUAUUUAUGCUGAUGGUACAGGGAUUCGAACGGGAAACAGCCAACUUUGCAAAAAAAAAAAGCCUUUAUGUCAACAGUAUUGAAUUUCUAUACUGCAUACGAAAUGGAAUACUGCAUACUGCAUUUAAUGAAACGUUUCAUUAAGGUAACUUGAUCACAGCAGGUCACAUCACAGCAGAUCACAUCACAGCAGAUAAGCACUCCUUUAUCAGAAUUCACAUGCUUUACCGAUUAAUUACUUGCACUGAUGUCAUUGACAAACUUUAGGUUCACUCACAAAGCAGCAGUAUGCCAAUAACAGGUCCACAUUUCAAAUAUUCAGACUUGUUUGCUAUUGAUAAGCAGCGCCGUAAAUGGCAAGCUUAUUCUGGCUUGAAUUGUCCCGCAUGGAGCACGUGGGUUGUGCUGCGCGCUUGACCCCGAACGCCAAUUAGACGCUCUCGCGCGAGAACGUUGCGGCGUUCGAAGCUUUAUAUAACGUCUAGUUUAUAUGAACUGGGCUAUUUGUGUGUUUGCUUGAUGAUGAGCAUUACGAUUAUGAGUAUUUUUUCGUAGACAGUUUAGGGCAUGUUCUUACUAAUUUUGCAUGCGCAUGUUAUGAUGCGUUGUACGUUGACUUCGUAAGCGGCGCUAGGAACCAGGGUGCGUUAAUUUCGUCUUCCCGAUUUCCGUAGCCCCGACUGUCUGUCGUGCAGUAUGCUGAUUCCUGAGAGCUGUGGAAAACAGGCGGCAAGCAAUUAUUUCUGCCGGAAGUAGUUGCAAACGGUUUCAUUUUCAUUUUUUUCUUUUUUCUUUUACAGUUCCAGAGCAGUGUGCUCACCGGAAGUGGCAAUGAUGCCGAGGAUCUCCCCAGCACGGACUUCGAAUGGCAGUCCCUCGAUUUGGAGCGAAACAUCCGGACAGCCAUUGAACCAGGCUGGAGAGGUUCAGCUCGAAGGUCAGGUCUUGAACCUGCGUCAGAGCGGCCACAUUUACCGUCACGACGACGUGGCCAUUCGCACCAUUGCUGAGAAUUACGACAAACGCGUGGUUACACACACACACAAAUAAAAAGACCGAAAACACCGCUUGCCAAAAGGCCAGAAGACGACGGUGGCCGUGUGUAACGUGCAAGACGACUCGUUCUUCGUGUACCACUAGUCGAACUAAUAAGUGUUUGCGGGAUCGUUCCUGGGUAGCCUAAGGAGAGUUUUGGGUCGGGUAAUCGAAAUAGAGCGCCGAUAACAGGAAGGCUUACCGAGUUAUGAAGUUGGCAAAAAGAGAGGAAAGAAGAGUGUAACGUUGGUGGAUGGCAGGAAUAGCUCAAGGAGCGGAAAACCUGGCACUAUUGCAAAAUUUGGUGGAGAUGUUCACAGCAGCGUAUGUUGCUCGCGUAUCGUGUUUUUCACCAAGCCACAAAGGUAGUUCACGGCCGGUCUAACCAUGUAUGGCAUAAUGAGCCUUCCUUAUACUGUGCCGUUUUUGACUCAGAAAUUCAAAUUUGUGCACGUGAUGCAGAAGUAGCGGUAUUAAGUGGCAGUAGACAAAUAUCAGCUGUGAAUAGCUUUGGAAUCCAAUUGCUAACUUGAUGGCUAAUUGUGUAAAACAGCGUGUGGGAGUUACGCGGGUAAACGCACUCUAGUACUGCUGGUGCCAGUGUUGUUGGAUGCUGUGAACAGCAAACUGCAAAGUAAGUGUUUGACACCAGCAGCGAGCGGCCUCGUAAACUGACAGCGAAGGCUGAUGUGACAGGUGAAUUCUACGGAGAUAUUCACAGUGCGUCUUGACGACGCACCGUACGUUGAGUACGUUAAUAUCGAGUCUUUUGGCACACCUCUGAACUGGCGCCUGUGUGUUGUGUAGCCCGGAAAGGUAUAGGCGCCAUUGGCAUUGGGCGUGGCCUAAACAAUUGCAUAAGAACGAAGAGCUUCUUUAAUAGCGCGUGUAUUGCUGUUUCGUACUUUUAUCGCGUCGUUUUCUCCAGUUAUUCACCCAUUUCUCUUGGAAUAAUCAGCUGUGCGCAGUGCUUCGCAUAAGGCUUCCAUAAAGCUGUCCCAAAUGUUCUGCCUCUAGAAUCGAGAUCUAUUCCUCGUGCAGCUGUAGCUUUUUCGCGCGCUCGCACAUUCUUUGGGAUUCGCCGUUAAGACGUUCCGAAACUAAUUUCCCCGUCAAUAAUUUUGACGUGCGUACUUUGAAUAUACUGCCGAUUGGUGAUCUGUGGUGUGCCAUUUUUUCCUGAUACGACAUUACUGCCACAGCGCAGUUUCAUGUGCGACAUAUGCGCACAUGUAGAAUGAACGAAAAGCUGAGGAAGAUGUUACCCUAUAGGCGGAGCGUCCUCUUGAUUUUAUUUGUACGUAUUCUUUGACACGCCCAGAGAAAUACUUCACCUCAUGUAAGAAUGCUUAAGAGCCUGGAAAUAAACUUGGC